rnacentral:misc_RNA from 1 species
UCGUACAAAAUGUGAGGGGCAUGUGAGGGCUGUCGCUGACUCAAUGUCGUGCACGCCCGAGCGUGUCCUCUCACAUAAUAAUCCAUCUCACCCUUUGUGCAUCGCCGCGUGGGCACCCUUUGGGAUCAUCUCGGAGGGGGCUCGCGUUUUCACACAAACCCCCCUUUGAAAAGUGUAGAAUGUCCUCAUUUAUGCAAUCAAUA